CUGCUCCUAGGAUACAGGGAUUAGUGGUUGAGGGGAUGUGCUUCCAGGACCCAGGCAGGAAGCUCAGAGCCUUGGUCCACCACCCUGUGCUGUGUUAGACUCAUGGACAUCGUCUCUGAUCCACUCAUGAUGGCUCCAAGUUGGCACAAAGUGAGGCUGAUUCACUGGAGCCUUAUGAAUGCUGUGAUCCAGAAAAUUAUUCAGAACUGGUUACAAGACAGAAUGUUUUGUUUUUAUGAAAUGAGCCAAGGGAGGGAUUCCAAAAUGAGAGGAAGAGAGUCCAUCAACUGACAUCCUGGGGAGGCCCAGUUUAAGGAGACACUGGAAGAUAACAUGACAUCAGGCCACCAACAGAGUGGUCCUUCAUGGUCCAGAGCCCAAGAUGGUAGAAACACCUGAUCACAUCAUCUGAAAUCAGAAGCCUUUGUUUCCUAUCUGAUGCCUUCCUAUUUUCUAGAUAAAAAGUUGACGUUUCCUUUCCUCAA